rnacentral:rRNA from 1 species
CCUACGGGGGGCAGCAGUGGGGAAUAUUGGACAAUGGGGGGAACCCUGAUCCAGCGACGCCGCGUGAGUGAAGAAGUAUUUCGGUAUGUAAAGCUCUAUCAGCCGGGAAGAAAGGAAUGACGGUACCUGACUAAGAAGCCCCGGCUAACUACGGUCCAGCAGCCGCGGUAAUACGUAGGGGGCAAGCGUUAUCCGGAUUUACUGGGUGUAAAGGGAGCGUAGACGGUUACGCAAGUCUGGAGUGAAAGGCGGGGGCCCAACCCCCGGACUGCUUUGGAAACUGUAUAACUGGAGUGCAGGAGAGGUAAGUGGAAUGCCUAGUGUAGCGGUGAAAUGCGUAGAUAUUAGGAGGAACACCAGUGGCGAAGGCGGCUUACUGGACUGUAACUGACGUUGAGGCUCGAAAGCGUGGGGAGCAAACAGGAUUAGAUACCCCAGUAGUC